rnacentral:rRNA from 1 species
GACGAACCGUGCGAACGUUAUUCGGAAUCACUGGGCUUAAAGCGCGUGUAGGCGGGACGGCACGUCGGCCGCUGAAAUCCCCCGGCUCAACCGGGGAAGUGGCGCCGAUACGACCGCCCUGGAGGGACGUAGGGGGGGCUGGAACAUCCGGUGGAGCGGUGAAAUGCGUUGAGAUCGGAUGGAACGCCCGUGGCGAAAGCGAGCCCCUGGACGUUUUCUGACGCUGAGACGCGAAAGCCAGGGGAGCGAACGG